AUACUUACCUGGCAGGGGAGACACCAUGAUUACGAAGGUGGCUCACCCAGGGCGAGGCUUAGCCAUUGCACUUGGGUUGUGCUGAACUCUACAAAUUCUCUGAAUGCAGAAAUCUUGCCUGUAAUUUCAGUUAGAAGGGGACUGUUUUCGCCAUCUG